GUGCUGACUUCGGCAGCACAUAUACUAAAAUUGGAAUGAUGAUACGCAAAUUAGCAUGGUCCCUGUGCAAGGGUGACAUGCAAAUUUGUGAAGCAUUCCAGAAUUUA